UACGUAGGGCGCAAGCGUUAUCCGGAAUUAUUGGGCGUAAAGAGCUCGUAGGCGGUUUGUCACGUCUGCCGUGAAAGUCCGGGGCUCAACUCCGGAUCUGCGGUGGGUACGGGCAGACUAGAGUGAUGUAGGGGAGACUGGAAUUCCUGGUGUAGCGGUGAAAUGCGCAGAUAUCAGGAAGAACACCCGUGGCGAAGGCGGCUCUCUGGGACGGUACUGACGCUGAGACGCGAAAGCGUGGGGAGCGAACAGG
rnacentral:rRNA from 1 species